CCCGGGCCCGGCCGGCCCCGCCCUGCGCACAGGUUCGGCCAUGUCGCUCGGCGGGCACAAGGUGGCACCUCACGAAGAUUAUUUUUGGCUGGUCUGCUGCAAUUUACAGACUCAGAGAAACGGGAAACUCUAAUCUCUCAGUGCGCCCAGGCAGCAUGGGAGGAAAACACGAAGCCUGAGCUCUCUGUUCCCGUUCUUUGGCUCAGUUGGUACAAUGAGUCAGAAAUGAGGCACCGGAGACUGAAAGGCAGAGAAAUGAACACACUGAGAGAAAAAGGCAGUGUCACUUGCAAAGCAGACAGUGUCAUUUUGGCCUGCUGUAGUAGCAGAGAUGCUGUGAUGGACUGCAUUUAUGAUUUAAAAACUCUGUGUAUUUUAUCCUCAGGGUGGUAACUCUGAGCUUUCUGAUGCUUUUGACUUUGAACUUGGAGUAAAAGUUCACCCUUGCGGAGAGUGACCCACUUUGAAAAGCUUUCCACUCUACAGCCAGACAAAAAGCUUUGCACAAUUUUGGUACCAAUAUUAAAGAAAGCUGAAAUCAAACUAGAAAUGAUAGACAAGGGAAAGCUUAGUCUCUCUUACAAGAGGAGGCUCUGACACUUUCAUUGCUUAUCAUGAUAGUACAAAACCUGUUCUUUUUUUUCUUUAAACAUAUCAGGGUCAGGGGUAAAAACCUGAGCAUGGAAGAAGCUGAAAAGAAAUGCCUCCAUCUUAAAGUAAGGGACAAUUGGGAAACCAGAAGGUUUCUGUGUGGCAAGCCAGAGAAGGUCCUCCCAGGAGAGUGCAAGAUGCAGGAAUCUUUAUUCAUUGAUAAGAAGACCUUGAUAGUUUUAGCUAGGAGAGAGAUAACAGGACAGAAAUGCCUGCAAUGAUCCAGGGGCAGCAUCUGUUCCAUAUUUUCACCUGACGACUGCUCAGCCACCACUAUGAAGAAGGGCUGGCUUGGAGAUUUACUGCUAAGCCCUGGGGCUGGCAGACAACAGGAACAUAAAAUAUGGGGAGAAGCUCUGAGGGCUGUAGAGUAUUCAAAAGACAUGCAGAAUGAAAGAUCCUAUGUUGCUUUAAUGGUUUGUUCCAAAAUAUUGUGUACUUCAAAGUACUGACUACGCUAACUCUUCUAAGAUGCUAGUUACACCCUAGCAGCUGUAAACUCCUUUCUAAAAAGUUUGUUGUCCUUUUUGCCUCAGUUUAUGUGAUUAUUCUAGUUUCUAGUAAUUAAGAUUGCAUUUCAUGAUUCUCAACCUUAUUCAAUUAAUGUUUACAGCUUUCCAUGCUACAAAAAUAAUACUUGUCAUUAUUUUAAUUAAAUUAUUCAUAAAUGGCAUUGGUUCCACUUCAGAUGUAUGUAUAAUGAGAACAGGACCGAGGAGACACAUAAUUAAUCAUAAAUUUUGAUGUAUUUUUUUAUGUUAAUUGAAGAUACAUGGAACUGUUCACAUUAAAUGCAAUUUUUUU